GACAGAGGGUGCAAACGUUGUUCGGAAUUACUGGGCGUAAAGCGCGUGUAGGCGGCUAAGUAAGUCGGGCGUGAAAUCCCACGGCUCAACCGUGGAAGUGCACUCGAAACUGCAUAGCUAGAGUCCUGGAGAGGAAGGUGGAAUGCUUGGUGUAGAGGUGAAAUUCGUAGAUAUUCGCAAGAACACCAGUGGCGAAGGCGGCCAACUGGUCCGAUACUGACGCUGAGGCGCGAAAAGCGUGGGGGAGCAAACAGG
rnacentral:rRNA from 1 species